rnacentral:rRNA from 1 species
UACGAAGGGGGCUAGCGUUGCGCGGAAUCACUGGGCGUAAAGCGCACGUAGGCGGGUUGUUAAGUCGGGGGUGAAAUCCUGGAGCUCAACUCCAGAACUGCCUUCGAUACUGGAGACCUUGAGUCCGGGAGAGGUGAGUGGAACUCCGAGUGUAGAGGUGAAAUUCGUAGAUAUUCGGAAGAACACCAGUGGCGAAGGCGGCUCACUGGCCCGGUACUGACGCUGAGGUGCGAAAGCGUGGGGAGCAAACAGG